UGCGACGAGUUGACUCAAUCAGAUAGCUUCGGCUAUUCCGUUUUGACGGCUAGUGAUUGUCAAACACAACGACACCAGAUAGUACGGCUAUCAGUUACCGGAUUUGUAACGUGUCGGACAGAAUACUUUUGUGGAGAAG
rfam:Mycobacterium abscessus strain PAP053 genome assembly, contig: ERS075544SCcontig000010